AAGUCCCAUCCGUAUCCCCAGUCUGUUACGGCCAAAUCCAUGGAGGCCGCACCUUUCGCCGGGUUUUCCUCUCGCCUCUACUGGCAGCAACAGAUUCUCUCCCAAAUCACGCUAUGGUCAGGAUUUGCAACCUCCGCGGACUCUGCCUUCUUGGAGCAUAUAAACUCGUCGCCACCAUCAACUCCCUCUGUGGGCGCCAAACUCAACCACGCAACGCCAUGGAGUCCAGCUCUAAUUUCUUGCCCUUCUCUGCUCUCAGACCCGAUUGCCCUCGCGUGCAAAAAUCCCCUGCGUCCGAGUCGCGCUGGUGAAGAAAAGAGAGAGAGAGAGAAUCGAGCACCACCAUGGCUGCGGGAUAAAGGUUGCCGCCACCAUCGAACACGGGUUGUGCUUUAGCCCAAUGCUCGGAAUGCGGUGGCGGUGCUUCGGGGUAGAACACUCAGUCGCGCGGAAGCCCUCGAUAAAACACGGAGAUCAACCAGCUGCGGGGGAAUCCCUCGUCGUCGUUGUACAACAUGCUGGUUCUGCUCCUCCUCGCGAGCGCGUGUAUCUGCGCUGUCGACCCCGUGAGGACACGUGUCAUCUGAGGAGCAAGUUGGUACCUGGAAUCUCAAGUCCGAGGCAAGUUGUGCCCCUGAUCACUUCUUUUUACUCACUCAUGUUCUAAUUAAUCAUAAUGAUCUGCAUAGGUUAAUUUUGAUGGGAUUGGUUACCAUAGUUUGACUAUCUUUAUACCUUGUUUACCAUUGAAUUUUUUGUUAGUACCUACUAUUGCUUUAUGUGGUUUUAGGUAUAGAGAUACACAUUAUUCAUGAUUAUACUUUUAUUAUCAGUUGUUAUUUAUUGUUCAUGUUAAGAUCAUUAUGUUAAUUGGAACAUGGAGAACCACCCGGGAAAACAGUGCUACCACAAGGGUGGUAUGGGAUGCCCUUGGCUGACUAAUUAGGAAAGCUAGUAGAGGACUACCUUACCCGAAAGGGGCAAGGGUAGUAGGGGAGUGGUCAGUGUAGGGAGGUCCUUGGGUUCAUUUUGUUGCGAUGGCGGUCAGGCGAGGGAUCCCUACACUGGAGCUUCCUAUAAACUGUAGCGGGAUUUCUGAUGCUAAUGGAACUUUGUAAAGGCCUAGUAGUGUUACCCUGCGUCGCCUCCUCGGUAGAGGUGUAUGGGAUUGGCCGUCUCUUGGCAGAUGGGUAACAUUACUUGUGGGUAAAGAUGUGCAACCUCUGCAGAGUGUAAAACUGGUAUACUAGCCGUGCUCACGGUCAUGAGCAGCUCGGACCCUCACAUGAUUAAUUUAUGGAACUAAAUUCAAUUUGUCAUAUGCAUUGCAUUGAGGGUGUUGUUAUUACUUUUGUUCUACUACUUAAUUGGGUUGGUAUUUACUUAUACUUAGUAACUGCUAAUAAAAUUUUGACCAACAUUAAAAGCAAUGCUCAGCUUCAACCAUCCUCUUUGGUAAGCCUUACACUUCACGUGAGCUCCCACCUUUGGCGAGUUCAUGCACAUUAUUCCCCACAACUUGUUGAGCGAUGAACGUAUGUCAGCUCACUCUUGCUGUCUCAUUCCCCAUAGGUCAAGAACAGGUACCGCAGGAUGAGGCGCAUGGAGGAUGCUGUGACGAGUUCGUGACAGGUUUAGGACAUCGUCUCCCAGUCAACUUUGGGUUGCUGGAUCGUUGUCUCCUUAUGAUGUAAUUAUUUAUUUAUUUUGUACAUAACUCCUAUUUAGUAAAGAUGUGACAUUCGUUUCUGUUGGGGGUCUUCUUCUCCACCGAAGGUCCUCAAGGAAUAAACACCUUUUGCAAGACAGUACAAAGGCAGGUGUGAUAUGAAGAUAUAAGCCGAAGUUGAUGCGAACAAAAGUCAAAGCUAUGACUGAAAGAGCUUAGUCUUGGUAUUGUGAUAAAGGCGAAGAACGAUACCGACUUAAAGAAGAAAAGACUAUAUAGCCCUUAAUAGUUUACAUUAUGAUUAUAAUUAGUUAACAAGGACAUGGAUGUAAUUUUGUCCGAGCUGUGUCCCGUGCCUAUAAAUAGAUGAACAGUACCCCCGUACUGUUCAUGUUGCAUUGUAAUCGCUCUCGCGUCACUCUCACAUUUUCACCUUCUGACGAGCCGAAGGUAUCGAUGAAAUAUAAAUAUUGUGAAUAUUUAUUUAAGUU